AAAAAAAAAAAAAAAGAAAUGCCUUCAUUCUUUUAAAUGCUAUUUACAGAAAAAGCUAGAUAGAUUGUUACUACAGCUGUUUUAGCUUUAUGCUUGUUUAGCUUUAUGCUUGUUUAGGAGAAUAUGGAGACUGUAGAGUGAAAUAACAAUGGGAAGGAGUUUUGUUCCAUGCAAGGUAAUGGUAUAGGAAUUUGGAGAAGUUAGGGCUGAGAUAUAGAGUGGAAAAGUGAAGAAGUUCCAUAGUAGGGAAGAAGGUGGUAAAUAGACAUUUGGAGGUGGUAGUCAAUGUAAAAAUGCCUUGUUACAUGAAUAUGUGUAUGUUUUCCUAAGGUCCGAGAUCCUGGAGUCAGGAUAGCUGAGUUUCAUCCCCUGAUAUUUGUCCACUUGCAGAAGGUCAGCCAAAAAGAGCCCAUUCCAGAGAACCUUACAGAAUAACACCCGAAAGGCUACUUUUAGUUUAUAACUGCAUGAUGUUGUGGGUUGGCAGACGGCUCUGGUGGGAACCCUGCAAAUACUUGUCAAUGGCAGUGACCCUCAGGUCUCUUGAAG